AACGAACGCUGGCGGCAUGCCUAACACAUGCAAGUCGAACGAGACCUUCGGGUCUAGUGGCGCACGGGUGCGUACCGCGUGGGAACCUGCCCUUAGGUUCGGAAUAACUCCCCGAAAGGGGUGCUAAUACCGGUUAAUGUCUUCGGACCAAAGAUUUAUCGCCUUUGGAUGGGCCCGCGUUGGAUUAGCUAGUUGGUAGGGUAAAAGCCUACCAAGGCGACGAUCCAUAGCUGGUCUGAGAGGAUGAUCAGCCACACUGGGACUGAGACACGGCCCAGACUCCUACGGGAGGCAGCAGUGGGGAAUAUUGGACGAUGGGCGAAAGCCUGAUCCAGCAAUGCCGCGUGAGUGAUGAAGGCCUUAGGGUUGUAAAGCUCUUUUACCCGGGAUGAUAAUGACAGUACCGGGAGAAUAAGCUCCGGCUAACUCCGUG
rnacentral:rRNA from 1 species